GGAUUAGAUACCCUGGUAGUCCACGCUGUAAACGAUGGUCACUAGCUGUUUGUCUUUCGGGAUGAGUGGCUAAGCGAAAGUGAUAAGUGACCCACCUGGGGAGUACGUUCGCAAGAAUGAAACUCAAAGGAAUUGACGGGGGCCCGCACAAGCGGUGGAGCAUGUGGUUUAAUUCGAUGAUACGCGAGGAACCUUACCAAGGCUUAAAUGCAUUUUGACGUACCUAGAGAUAGGUAUUUCUUCGGACAAAUUGCAAGGUGCUGCAUGGUUGUCGUCAGCUCGUGCCG
rnacentral:rRNA from 1 species